GACAAACGCUGGCGGCGUGCCUAAUACAUGCAAGUCGAGCGCAGGAAGCUGACGGAACUCUUCGGAGGGAAGGCAGUGGAAUGAGCGGCGGACGGGUGAGUAACACGUAAGGAACCUGCCUCAAGGAUUGGGAUAACUCCGAGAAAUCGGAGCUAAUACCGGAUAGUUCAACGGACCGCAUGGUCCGCUGAUGAAAGGCGCUUCGGCGUCACCUUGAGAUGGCCUUGCGGUGCAUUAGCUAGUUGGUGGGGUAACGGCCCACCAAGGCGACGAUGCAGAGCCGACCUGAGAGGGUGAUCGGCCACACUGGGACUGAGACACGGCCCAGACUCCUACGGGAGGCAGCAGUAGGGAAUCUUCCACAAUGGACGAAAGUCUGAUGGAGCAACGCCGCGUGAGUGAUGAAGGUUUUCGGAUCGUAAAACUCUGUUGUAAGGGAAGAACACGUACGAGAGGGAAUGCUCGUACCUUGACGGUACCUUACGAGAAAGCCACGGCUAACUACGUGCCAGCAGCCGCCGUAA
rnacentral:rRNA from 1 species